rnacentral:rRNA from 1 species
GAUGAACGCUGGCGGCGUGCCUAAUACAUGCCAGUCGAGCGAACAGACGAGGAGCUUGCUCCUCUGACGUUAGCGGCGGACGGGUGAGUAACACGUGGAUAACCUACCUAUAAGACUGGGAUAACUUCGGGAAACCGGAGCUAAUACCGGAUAAUAUAUUGAACCGCAUGGUUCAAUAGUGAAAGACGGUUUUGCUGUCACUUAUAGAUGGAUCCGCGCCGCAUUAGCUAGUUGGUAAGGUAACGGCUUACCAAGGCAACGAUGCGUAGCCGACCUGAGAGGAUGAUCGGCCACACUGGAACUGAGACACGGUCCAGACUCCUACGGGAGGCAGCAGUAGGGAAUCUUCCGCAAUGGGCGAAAGCUUGACGGAGCAACGCCGCGUGAGUGAUGAAGGUCUUCGGAUCGUAAAACUCUGUUAUUAGGGAAGAACAAAUGUGUAAGUAACUAUGCACGUCUUGACGGUACCUAAUCAGAAAGCCACGGCUAACUACGUG